rnacentral:misc_RNA from 1 species
AUUGGCGACCCUGGUGUUUCAGGAGUAGGAGAUUGAUGUUCGUCUUUAGAUUGAGAUACACCAGUAAUUUCUUUAUUUGAUUUCUUAUUUCUUGAGAAAAAUAAACUAGAAACUUUCCCCUUCAAAGAUGAUUUCGCGCUCUUUGCCGUCCUCAGCUCCUUGGAAUCUUCUGUUCCGACAGCCUGUGAAUCUGGAACCUCAAAAUU